rnacentral:rRNA from 1 species
GACGAACGCUGGCGGCGUGCCUAAUACAUGCAAGUCGAACGCUUCUUUUCCCACCGGAGCUUGCUCCACCGGGAAAAGAGGAGUGGCGAACGGGUGAGUAACACGUGGGUAACCUGCCCAUCAGAAGGGGAUAACACUUGGAAACAGGUGCUAAUACCGUAUAACAAUCGAAACCGCAUGGUUUCGUUUUGAAAGGCGCUUUACGGUGCCACUGAUGGAUGGACCCGCGGUGCAUUAGCUAGUUGGUGAGGUAACGGCUCACCAAGGCCACGAUGCAUAGCCGACCUGAGAGGGUGAUCGGCCACAUUGGGACUGAGACACGGCCCAAACUCCUACGGGAGGCAGCAGUAGGGAAUCUUCGGCAAUGGACGAAAGUCUGACCGAGCAACGCCGCGUGAGUGAAGAAGGUUUUCGGAUCGUAAAACUCUGUUGUUAGAGAAGAACAAGGGUGAGAGUAACUGUUCACCCCUUGACGGUAUCUAACCAGAAAGCCACGGCUAACUACGUGCCAGCCGCCGCGGUAA